rnacentral:lncRNA from 1 species
ACGCCAAGGAUUCUCAACUUUAGUUGAACAAGUGGUGUCAGCUGCACUAUAUCAGCUAUCAGCAAUGACCGACCUCUCCUACCACCACCUUUCCCAGCCAUUCCCUCCUUUGCUUCCCAACCCUCACUUCGUCACCUCAGUCAGAUUCAAAGGAGGACCACAACAUGCGGGUAAGAGGAACUGAGGUGGGAAUUCAGAGAGAAGCUGCUUCUUGUGGAGAAGGGUAGAGAAGCGGAGAUUCUAGAAUGCUUUUUAAAAUAACAAGGUGGCGAUAGGGAGACAAGAAAGAAGUGUGUAAAAUUAACGUAAAACGAGCAUUUUGAUGGAGGGCAAUUUUUGGAAGAAAGUGAUAGAAUUGCUAUAAGCAAAAUGAAAGAAGAACAUUACAUCAUGCAGGUGAAACCCAAGAUAUGAACUAUUUGCGACCAUUCUCAUAUCAAAAACUCUCACUUUGCAAGAGAACAACAGAGCUUUUGACCUAUUAAAUGUAAACAAGCAGCCCCAACCUAAAGAAGUACAAGCAGAUAAACGCUAUGCAACAUAAACAAACCAACCGUAUGGAUCCCAAACUCAACAAGAAACAGAUUUCACAAUACAGACUUUUUAUCAACAGAAUUGAAAAGCCUACAAUAUAAUUGCUGGUAUGGAAUUUUAGAAGAUUAGCUUGCAGAAGCUGAAAUGGAUGAACCAGAUGUUGGUGCCCCGGCUAAUCCUGUCAUAUUCUUCAGUUUCUGAGAAGCUACCUCACUGGACGAUCCAGAUUCUGGCACAUCUCCAAUGUCCAAAGUGUCGGGAAGCUUUUCUGAAAACUCUGGAUAGAUCUUUAAGGAAGAAGCACAUUACUUAUAUCAGAUAUUAAAGUUGAGACAUCUAAACUAAUCAAAUGCAGUAUCGAUGUUCAAUACAUGUAAACUCAUGCUUUCUCAACAAUCAAUUGUU